rnacentral:rRNA from 1 species
AUCACCCGCGGUAAUUCCAGCUCCAAUAGCGUAUAUUAAAGUUGUUGCAGUUAAAAAGCUCGUAGUUGAAUUUCGGGGUUCUACCGUUGGUCGGGCUUUGUCUGUACUGGCGUGUAGAAUUUCUACCUUCUGGGGAACCAUCAUGUUAUUAAUUUAACGUGGUGGGAAACCAGGGCCUUUACCUUGAAAAAAUUAGAGUGUUCAAAGCAGGCUUAUGUCUGAAUACAUUAGCAUGGAAUAAUAAAAUAGGACGGUGGUCCUGUUUUGUUGGUUUCUGAAUCACCGUAAUGAUUAAUAGGGAUAGUUGGGGGCAUUAGUAUUCAAUUGUCAGAGGUGAAAUUCUUGGAUUUAU